rnacentral:misc_RNA from 1 species
AAGUCGUAACAAGGUCUCCGUAGGUGAACCUGCGGAGGGAUCAUUAACACUAAAGUAAUCUCACGAUUACGAACCAACAAACCCGUGAACUUGUCAUCAUUGAAGUAGUAAGGGAAGUUAGGGAAAGGCACGGUAUGUGGCGGCGAUUGCAAAGCGUCAAAGCAUACACAGUUUUCGCAAGAGAACGACCUCUCUCUGAUGGACUUGCCUGCUUAGAAUUAUUUUUCUUUGCUAUUAACCCCUUUAACCACUUUUAAUAGUCAUUCACUAACUGAUUCAAAUCAUUGAAGUCGAAAGGCUUUUGAUGAUGGUUUACGUAAAGCAGUACAACUCUUAGCAGUGGAUAUCUUGGCUUCCGU